rnacentral:lncRNA from 1 species
UGUAGUCCCAGCUACAUGACAGGCUGAGGCAGAAGAACUGCUUGAACCCAGGAGGCAGAGGUUGCAGUGAGCCAAGAUCUCACCACUGCACUCCAGCCAGGGUGACAGAGCAAGACUCCGUCUUUAAAUAAAUAAAUAAGUAAAUGGGGCUGGCCAUGGUGGCUUAGCCUUGUAAUAUCUGGAAAUUUGGGAGGCUGAGGCAGGAGGAUUGCUUGAGCCCAGGAGUUCAAGACCAGCCAGGGCAACAUAGUGGGAUAUGAGACCCUAUCUCUACCAAAAAACUCCCCAACAAUUAGCUGGAUGUGGUGGUGAGUUCCUGUUGUCUCAGCUCUUCGGGAGGCUGACGCAGGAUGACUGCUUUAUCCUGGGAGGUAGAGGUUGCAAUGAGCUGUGAUUGUGCUACUGCACUCCAGCCUGGGUGGCAGAGCGAGACUUUGUCUCAAAAAGAAAAAAAAAAAAAAGUGGGAAAAUCAAAUAGCAUGGAUGGUAUAAUCCCAUUUAUGUGAAAAUAACCAUUAAAAAUGUUAAAAAGGCACCCACUCAGAGGUCAUUUAUAUGGUAACCCCAAACAGCAGGAACUGCCCUAAGUUCCUGCUGUGGUAAACCCCACGCAUUGAAACUGCCCUAAGUCUCAUCACUGGAACGAAUGAAGGAAGACUGAAGGGAUGUGCUGCAGAGUCUGGCUGGGGGCAGGGUUGGGGUGGGCUGGCCAAGGAUGGUGGUCUUUAGUCGUUUAUAAAUGUCAGCAAUAACCACUUUAAGACACUGAACUGUUACUGUGAGAAAAAACCAGACUCACCCCAUGCCACCAUCCACCCAAUGGAAAGAACACUCAGAAGGCAUUCCAGAAGACUUCAGGGUGGCCCUGUCUUCCUGUCACGUAUCACGCUCUCAGGGACUUCAGAGGUAACUAAACUUGGGAGAUACCACUCACUGGGAACGAGACAGGUCCAGGAUAUUCUGGAUCAAUGAUCUCUUCUUGGAUAUAAUGAAAUAUGCCAUUUUUAGUCCGGAUGGUUAUCUACCCAUCUACUCACAAUAAUUAUCUCUGGGGCAGUGGGAUUAUGAAAGGACUUUUGUUUUCUUUGUAUCAUUUGAUUUUUUGUUUUUUUUCUUUUAGAGACAGGGUCUUGCUCUGUCACCCAGGCUGGAGUGCAGUGGCAUAAUCAUCGCUUAUGGUAGCCUUGUCAUUUGAAUUUUUUAUAUCAAUUAUGCAUUAUCAGGAAAAUAAGUAUCAUAAUUUUUUAAAACGUAAACUUUGUUUCAUUCCUGAUACAUCAACAGAGACAAUAUAAUUUUUUUUUUUUUUUUUGAGAUGGAGUUUCACUCUGCCCCUGCAGUACAGUGGCUCCAUCUCGGCUCCUGUAACUUCUGCCUCCUAGGUUCAAGUGAUUCUCCUGCCUCGGCCUCCUGAGUAGCUGGGAUUACAGGUGUGUGCCACUACACCUGGCUAAUUUUUAUAUUUUUAGUAGAGAUGGGGUUUCACCAUGUUGGUCAGGCUGGUCUCGAACCCCUGAUCUUAAGCGACCCUUCACCUCCCAAAGUGCUGGUAUUACAGAUGUGAGCCACAGCGCCCAGCAAGAGACAAUACCACUUAAACGGUGAACAUAUCAUCCAUUGCAGCAUACAACCAUGUGCCCAGGAAAGCCAACAUAACUAAGACUUGCCACUUUGGCAGAACUCUCUGGAAAGCGGUGUCUUCCUUUCACCAGAGAUGUAAAACAGCAAAUAAGGAAGUACAAGCAUGAAAGCAAAAUCGGAGGAACAUUUCCUGGACAGCAUUCCCAUCUCCAGUAAGAGUCCUUCUCACUUCAUAAAAGCGAUACGUAGAAGCAAGACUCUGCCUUUGCGGUGACGUCACUGAAUAUGCAGCCGGGGCCCAGAGUUGAACAAAUGCCACUCUGGCAAGCGGGGCAGGGUCUGGCUUAGCAACUUGACUUUGACCUACCACCUCUGGAUAAUUUUGCUUCUACAUAACUAUGGAGAUGAUGUACUCAUUCUAUUUAUAAAAAUAAUGCCCUUGGAGUAAACCCCAACCAUCCACUCCUACCUCCACCCUGGCCCAGGCCUGUUCUGCCCCAGUGCACCUAAUCUUCCUUCAUUCUUUAUCCCCCUUGUUCACACUGUGCCUGCAUCCUGCUCCUUGAACAAGCCUGGCCUCAUGCCGUUGCACGCUUGCUGCUUCCUCUAUCUGGAAUGCCUUUCUCAUUGCUCCUUGCCAAGCCACUCCUUUUUUUUUUUAGACACAGUUUCACUCUGUCGCCCAGGCUGGAAUGCAGUGGUGCAGUCUUGGCUCACUGCAACCUCUGCCUCCCGGGUUCAAGAGGUUCUCCUGUCUCAGCCUCCCAAGCAGCUGGGAUUAUAGGCGCACACCACCACGCCCAGCUAAUUUUUGUAUUACAAGUAAAGAUGGGGUUUCAACAUGGCCAGGCUGGUCUUGAACUCCUGAUCUCAGGUGAUCUGCCCACCUUGGCCUCCCAAAGUGCUAGGAUUACAGGCGUGAGCCACAGCGCCUGGCCCCAGGUCACUCCUAAUCCAUCAGGUUUCAACUGAAAUGUCAUGCUGGAAAGAGGCCUUCCUUCUCUCUCUAUCCUGGCUAACACUGCCUUCUCUCCCACACCAUCUUGCUAUCCCAUCUUUCUCUUCUGUUUUCUUCAGAGAACUUACUGAUACCUGAAAUGAUCUCAUCGUUUAUUUCUUCCUUUUUUCUUCAUUGUCUGUCUCCCCUUUGGAGCACAGGUUGCUUAAGAACAGGCACCUCACUGGGUGUGACCCAUGCCUGUAAUCCCAGCUACUCAGGAAGCUGGGGUGAGAGGAUGGCUUGAGCCCAGGAGUUCAAGGCUGCAGUGAGCUAUGAUUGUACCAAUGCACUCCAGCCUGGGUAACAGAGCACAAUUCCGUCUUUAAAAAAUAAUACAAAAAUAAAAAAGUAUAGGCACCUCUUCAGUUUUGUUCAUUUCUGAAUCUCUGGUGCCUGGGACAGAGCCUGAUGGUCAGUGAGAGGUGCUUAACAAAUGCUUGUGGAAGGAAGGACUGGGAUAUACUUUUGCAGUUCAAAGGACUUCAGGAAUGAAAUGGCAAUCUGAGGAUGGGGAGUAAAAUGUCCUGUUGUCAACCCUGUAAGCUGCUAAACCGACAUGGACUCCAAGCCAAAGCUGCAUAGGCCUCUAGGCUUUUAAACAUGUGGCUCCUGCCGCCCUGCGGGUGGUAUUCGAAAUAUUUAUCAGGUGCAUGUAUACACGUGUGGACAGGCUGAGCAUCAGCAAUUGCUGCCUGCCCUCACCAACUUGCCCCUCAAACUCUUACCCAGCUUUUAGGACCCAGGACAAAAGUCACUCCCUCUAGGAAGCCUUCCGGGAUCCUCUCCCUCCUCUGUCUGCGCCAUGCUCUGCCCCAACCUCUCUGCAUUCUCUCCCUGUACAGGGACUAUGUGCUAGUGACCCUUAGAAGUCAGACCCCAGCCUCACCGACCCCUGGUCACCGGGUGCCUCUGAAUGCUGACCUCUAGCCCAAGGUCUGCUCAUCAAACUGUGUGAAAUGAACGCAAGAGUGAAGGAACACAGCGGCGAGUGAAGGACAGAAUAAAUAACUGUCAGAAAGUGCCCCGAGGGGCCACUGCAGCACCGAGCCUCGCCGUCCUUCAGGUGUCCCGAGCACAAGGCCAAGG